AGAAUUAUCAAAGGAUGGCUGUACAGACCACCUAGAAAAUAAUUCAGUAUUUCAGGUUUUUCUUUUCUGGGAGUGUGAUAACUGAAAUUGUUAGAUUUUGGCUCAGUUAAGAAAAGAAAGAUCUGUUGCCUUUCUUCUGAGUGAACAGUGGUGAGAAAAAAUUUUGCAAGGCCCCGCUUUUCCUUUCUUCACAGGCCAGCAGUAGCCAUAUCUGAUCAAAAAAGAUACCUGAAGGAAUAUUGAUCACAUUUUCCUGAGGCCCUAGCAAGCACAGGAAUUGAGAAGUUAGGACUGGAACAACUUUGUCAUUUGUCACAAUUGCCAAACAUUAGAAUACACAGGAACCGUUUUUUCAGGUAACUCUGUGACUUGGCUGGAUCUUCCUGAUCAUCAAGAUUAG
ensembl:lncRNA GRK5-IT1 GRK5 intronic transcript 1